AGUUAACUAAGUCAGAACGAAACCCAUGGUCCCAACAUUUCUUCCUUCUCGGACCCUCGAUUUCCCAUAAGCUUCACUUGCAAACAAUCCUAGAUUUCUACUCAUGACAUACGUUCCCCAUUCAAAACACGUUGCCCACAAGGUGGCGAGACGCUGCAUUUAGUUGAGAAUAUGUCUCCCAUGUUGCAUCCUUGACUCUUUGCCCUUGCCAGUGAAUUUGUAACUCUACCCUUGCUUUGUUUCUUGCCUUGGUCAUCCAAUGCCACUUCCAUUGGUUCCAGACUGAGGAUCCCUUGUUUGUUCACAAGAGGCAACAUUGGAAUCGCAGUGAUCUUAGCACCCAAUUUCUUCUUAAGCUACGAUACGUGGAAUGUGGGGUGGAUUCGAGAAGAAGAUGGCAGAUCCACUCGAAUGCAGCUUUUGUUUCUGAAAGCUAUAGCCUGAAUUUACUCACAUUCAAAAGGGAAUAUCGAUCCAUGCCCCUUUUGCAUGCUUUCUUUGCUGGUUGGCACGAAAUGAAAAAAAAGCUGCAACUCUCAACCUCAAAAUAUAUGAUCCACUGCUUUUGAAGGUCUUCAUAUAUUACAUAACUAACAUCAACAUCAUUACAGUUUUCUUCUUGCUCAGAUCAAGGCUUUAUGCCAACUAUAUAUAAUGCUAGUAAUUACAGCUGCUAUAUUGACAAAAAUAGAUGUCACUGUCAGAUAAAAAUAACAAGGUUUGUUGAGAGGAGCUUUUUGGAGGUUAUAGGCUUUGACAUUUUUAUAUAUUGGGGUUUGUAAAACAGUAAAUGGAAGGUGAUUUUCUUUAAAAAAAAGAAAAAAAAAAAGAAAAGAAAGGGAGAAAAAUUCUCAAA